AAGACCGUGGCUACUUAAGCUAAAGUAGGUAGAUAUUAUUUUUCUCUUUUGUUUCCUCUUUACGCUCCCUUCUACUCCGAUGAAGGGAGCUUUGAGGUAUAGCGAAUCUCAAAUAAUGCAUUUUAUAACUUACAGCUUCUCUCUCAAGUUUUAAAAUGGGUGAAGAGAAAACUCGCACCAACAUUGUAGUCAUUAAUCAUGUCGACUCGGGAAAUCCACCACCUUUGGUCAUUUGAUCUACAAGCUUGGAGGCAUCUACAAGCGUGCGAUUGAGAGGUUUGAGAAAGAAGCUACUGAGAUGAACAAAAGGCCCUUCAAGUAUGCAUGGGUGCUUGGCAAGCUUAAGGCAGAGCAUGAACGUGGUAUUACCAUUGAUAUUGCUCUGUGGAAGUUAGACCACUGAAUACUACUGCACUAUUGUUGGAGCUCUCGUAACACCAAUAUUUUCUGUAAGACACUAGUACUGUUCCAAGAUCGAACAUAGUGAAAUAUAAUCUAUGUAUUUUCACAUCUUUUCCAA